rnacentral:rRNA from 1 species
AUUAACAGGAUUAGAUACCCUGGUAGUCCACGCAGUAAACGAUGAUUACUGGCCGUUUGCGAUAUAAUGUAAGCGGCUGAGCGAAAGCGUUAAGUAAUCCACCUGGGGAGUACGUUCGCAAGAAUGAAACUCAAAGGAAUUGACGGGGGCCCGCACAAGCGGAGGAACAUGUGGUUUAAUUCGAUGAUACGCGAGGAACCUUACCCGGGCUUGAAAUGCAGAUGACGUGGGCGGAGACGCCCAUUCCCCACGGGGCGUCUGUGUAGGUGCUGCAUGGUUGUCGUCAGCUCGUGCCGUGAGGUGUCGGCUUAAGUGCCAUAACGAGCGCAACCCCUAUCGUUAGUUGCCAUCAGGUAGUGCUGGGGACUCUAACGAGACUGCCAUCGCAAGAUGCGAGGAAGGUGGGGAUGACGUCAAAUCAGCACGGCCCUUACGUCCGGGGCGACACACGUGUUACAAUGGGUGGUACAAAGGGCAGCUACAUGGCGACAUGGUGCCAAUCCCUAAAACCGCUCUCAGUUCGGAUCGGAGUCUGCAACUCGACUCCGUGAAGCUGGAUUCGCUAGUAAUCGCGCAUCAGCCACGGCGCGGUGAAUACGUUCCCGGGCCUUGUACACACCGCCCGUCAAGCCAUGGAAGCUGGGGGUGCCUGAAGUCCGUAACCGUUGAGGGGCGGCCUAGGGUAAAACCGGUGACUGGGGCUAAGUCGUAACAAGGUAACC